GACGAACGCUGGCGGCGUGCUUAACACAUGCAAGUCGAACGGACAGGCCCUGCUUUUGUGGGUUGCUCGAGUGGCGCACGGGUGAGUAACACGUGAGUAACCUGCCCUUGACUUUGGGAUAACUUUAGGAAACUGGGGCUAAUAUCGGAUAGGAGCUCUUGCUGCAUGGUGGGGGUUGGAAAGUUUCGGCUGUUGGGGAUGGACUCGCGGCUUAUCAGCUUGAUGGUGGGGUAGUGGCUUACCAAGGUUUUGACGGGUAGCCGGCCUGAGAGGGUGACCGGCCACAUUGGGACUAAGAGACGGCCCAGACGCCUACGGGAGGCAGCAGUGGGGAAUAUUGCACAAUGGGCGGAAGCCUGAUGCAGCAACGCCGCGUGCGGGAUGACGGCCUUCGGGUUGUAAACCGCUUUCGCCUGUGACGAAGCGUGAGUGACGGUAAUGGGUAAAGAAGCACCGGCUAACUACGUG
rnacentral:rRNA from 1 species